rnacentral:rRNA from 1 species
CGCGUAGGCGGCCAGAUAAGUCCGGUGUGAAAGUCACAGGCUCAACCUGUGAAUGCCGCUGGAAACUGUCUGGCUAGAGUCCGGGAGGGGCGAGUGGAAUUCCUGGUGUAGCGGCGAAAUGCGCAGAUAUCAGGAGGAACACCAAUGGCGAAGGCAGCUCGCUGGAACGGUACUGACGCUGAGGCGCGAAAGCGUGGGGAGCAAACA